GAUGAACGCUAGCGGGAGGCCUAACACAUGCAAGCCGAGCGGUAUUUGUCCUUCGGGUCCGCGAGUGCGGCGUACGGGUGCGGAACACGCGUGCAACCUGCCUUUAUCUGGGGGAAAGCCUUUCGAAAGGAAGAUUAAUACCCCAUAAUAUAUCGAAUGGCAUCAUUCGGUAUUGUAAACUCCGGUGGAUAGAGAUGAGCACUGGCAAGAUUAGAUAGUUGGUGGGGUAAAGGCUCACCAAGGCAGUGAUCCUUAGGUGGCCUGAGAGGGUGAUCCCCCACACUGGUAAUAGGGCACGGACCAGACUCCUACGCGAGGGAGCAGAGAGGAAUAUUAGGCAGUGGGUGCGAGUCUGGUCCAGCCAUCCCGCGUGAAAGACUAAGGCCCUAUGAGAUGUAUACUUGUUUUAUGGUGGGAUAAACCUACUAACGUGUAAGUAGCUGACGGUACCGUAUGAAUAAGCACCGGCUAACUCCGUG
rnacentral:rRNA from 1 species